GGAGAGGUGCCAGAGCGGUUGAACGGGCCGGUCUCGAAAACCGGAAUACGCGCAAGCGUAUCGUGGGUUCGAAUCCCACCCUCUCCGCCA
rnacentral:tRNA from 1 species